AAUACAGUCAGAACAUAUUCCAACAGUGCUCUGAGAGGGGCAAGGGGCGCUGAGCCACCACAGUCCUCUCCUGCUCUCAGCUUCACUUCCCUCCUUUGUGACCAACGUAACAACUGCUGCCCAGGGGCAAGUCUAGGAAACCCCCGCCAAGCAGAGCUGUAACCUGACCCAGAAGACACACAGUCCUUUGGCAGGAAGGAGCAACUCACCCAGGAGCAAGAAGAGAAAAGAAAGGGGGUGCUCACCCAGAGGGGUGGGGUGAAAGAGAAGCACUGCAUCUUUUAUCAGGCCAAGACAACCUAUGCAUGCUGAGCUUUUCUGGAUACUGGAUGAUGUGCAGAAUUCGGUGACAAGUGGCUUGAAGAGGUUGUUGGCUUCUCUUGGGGGUUGGCACUUGAAGGGACCUGGGAGAAUGGAGCAGAGAUCAUCAGUACACGCAUCAGCCUGACUGCUCUGCUGGGGGCUAAGUGCCCUUACAACUUUGUCCCACAAGAGCCAUUAGUAACUUGAAGUUUGCAUCAACUUGAAGCACAACUCAUGAAGACUGCUUUCCUUCAUCACUCACGCAGAGACUGCCAAUAUUUGGACCAAGUCCCACAGAGUAUUUUUUCACUUGGUUGAAGUUGUUUUCAAUGUUUUCCAGUGAUAAACGGUCAAGCCCUUGUAAUGGCAGUUGCUGAAAUGACACUUUAACCCAUCAUUGACUACUAGAGACUAGAAAUCAUCGCCAAGCAAGCAUUGUGGCCCAAGACCUUCAAACUGGCCCUCAAUAAAGUGGUGCUGAUUCUGGAUGGUGAAGGAAUUUAAGGUGUGUGUGUGUAAAAGAGAAUCUUGGCUCACAAUUUGGGAGUUUUGAACUGG